CAGCUCCUGUUUCUCUCCUCAG
rnacentral:miRNA from 1 species